UGUCCAGAUUUUCUAUUUCACUGCCUUGCUAGAUAAACGUGCAUUUCUGUAUUCAUAAAAAUACAACCAUAAUUAGAAUUCAGUUUGCCCUAGUGGAAUGGCUGUCCAACUUUCCAAGUUGACAUAAAACUUCCAAAGAGAAUAUCAGAUGUACUAAAUUUUCUAUAUUUUCAGGUUUUCCAGUGACAAUUCGACUGUUAGACCCACCACUUCAUGAAUUUUUGCCAGAAGGGAACCUAGAAGAGAUUGUCAAUGAACUAACAACAGAUAUAGGCAUGUGCGAGGAAGAUGUCUAUUCUAGAAUUGAGAAAUUAUCAGAAGUCAAUCCCAUGCUUGGAUUUCGAGGCUGCAGGUCUGAUCUUCUCCCAUCACAAACAAAUGAUCUAUUUUUGCUGCAUUACUUAUCGCAAGGAUUUAGGAAGUUUUCUAAAAGUAAGGAGAUUAUGGUUAGUUUCUAAUUUCUUGAGUGUUAGAUUCCUGUAUAUAUAUUAAAGAGGAGCAUAAGUUAUGUCACAAAUUCCACGAUCUAUGCAUAACUUGGUCCAGGUAGUGCCAGUACGAUUUCUGAGUUAGGCAAUGCAGUACCUCUUUUAUUCUCAAAAUCCAGAACCAAAUUACUUAAAACGUUCUGCUAGCAUCUCUCAAUGUUUGUUUUUCUUUUUGACAGGCUAGGUAUAUCUUACCCUGAGCUGACAGAAAUGCAGGCUCGUGCAAUCUUUCAAGCUGCUAUAGCUAUGAGCAACCAGGGCAUUUCCGUCUUUCCAGAGAUAAUGGUUCCCCUUGUUGGAACACCUCAGGUAUGUCUUAUGUGGACUGUACUCUUACAUCUUGAAUAUAGUUGACGAUCAAGAAUAAAGAGAUAUCAUUGUCCUUUCGUUUUAUGAAGCAUAUAAAAAGGGGUUGAGUCGAUUAUUUUUAUAAAUGGAUUUAUACUUUUGUUUCCAUUAUACCAACCCUUCUGAGAAAUAAAUUUCAAAGUGACAGUGCAUCUUUAAUUGACAGGAAUUAAGUCAUCAAGUCGGUUUAAUCCGUCAUGUUGCCAAAAAGGUUUUCUCGGAGAUGGGUACCUCGUUGAAUUAUAAGGUUGGCACCAUGAUUGAGAUUCCUAGAGCUGCUUUGAUUGCAGACGAGGUAUGUCUUUUUUCUAUUAUUUUACUAGUGAUUAAAGAUUAUGAACUUGCUAAUCUCUUCAAUGAUAUAUUUCGAUCCCAAUGCUACACAAGCCACAACGAUGAAAUGUCCAACUUCUACUCUAGAAAAGCUUCCGCGUUGCUAUAUUGCUUUGCUUAUGCUCCAUGUUUUCUGUAAACUGGUGAUAGAUUGCUAAUGAAGCAGAGUUCUUCUCCUUUGGGACCAAUGACCUCACACAAAUGACAUUCGGGUACAGUAGAGAUGAUGUAGGCAAGUUUCUUCCUAUAUACCUAUCCAAAGGCAUCCUCCAACAUGAUCCAUUCGAGGUUAGCUUGUCAUAUCUCAAACUACUCUCCGUGUGAUAUGCAAAAAAUUGGAAACCAGCAUGUUGAAACUUGAAGAUUUAAUGUCAUUCAGGUCCUUGAUCAAAAGGGUGUUGGCCAACUCAUCAAGAUGGCUACUGAAAGAGGUCGUGCAGCGAGGCCAAACUUGAAGGUCAGUUACAAGCUGAAUAAGAGAUUUACCUUGUAUACGCUAACACUGUAAAUAAAUCUUACACUACGUGUCAUUUAACAUCCAAGACGCUAGUUUCACUUUUUAUGGGUAGUAGCCUGGAGUUAUUUUUUAAAUGACCUUACUUUGUUAGCUCUUAGUGUAUAGAAGUUAAACUCUUGAAUGUGAUUCCCUAGAAGAGACUUUAAUUUUCUCAAGUUCCAUUUAACUUCUUGGUCCUGUUGGAUCAUUCUCCUCGUCAUUAUCAGUUGUUUGUCCCUUUGGGUACUACAUUCUUAGUGUUUAGUUCAAAGUUUAGUUCAAAGUGUAAGGCUUCUUUUUGUUCAUUGAUUAAAAUCUUGAGAUAUAACAGGUUGGAAUUUGUGGAGAACAUGGUGGGGAGCCCUCUUCAGUUGCAUUUUUCGCCGAGGCUGGAUUGGACUAUGUUUCUUGCUCUCCAUUCAGGUAACCUCGCUGAAACUGUAAUUUACUGAUUUCUAGAAUCUCGCGUAACUUUUCCAAAACCUUACUGAAAAUAUAUCGUGUUCAGGACUAUAUAAGUUGGCGUACAUGACUAUAUUAAUUGGCGAUUCGCUAAUGGUUUUUGUAUAAUGCAUGUGCUUAAACAGGGUGCCCAUUGCUAGGCUAGCUGCAGCUCAAGUUGUAGUUUGAAGGCAAGGCUCAAGAAGGAAGGAAGAUCAACUAGAUUUUCAGAAGCUGUAAAUAAAUAAUAAGAUUAGUACCAAAAAAAAAGUUUAGAGAAGAGGGGAACACAAUCUAUUAUUUCCUUUUUAUAGACAAACAAUUGGUUCCUAUGGUAACAGAUUUAUUCUUCUUUUCACAUCUUUACUCUUGUUAUGAGUUUCUGUUUUUUACAGUUUAUAUUUCAAGCAUGGAUAUAUGUUUGCUUCACUAGGAGAUUAUGUAGUUAUGAGUUCCAAAAGGGGAUAAUUUGCAUGGACUUAAUAAAGUUUGUUAGGAUCGGGAACAUAGGUAGUGCGGAAAUUAGUCAAAUAAUGUUAUAAUGACAAUAACAAAGACAAUGCAAGUUGAUAAUAAUGACAAUUAAAGAAGAUAAAGUAGACAUAAAUUUAACGUGGUUCGGUCAAAGUGACAUACGUCUACAAGCGGAGAGGAGCAAUUUUACUAUACCAAUAAGAGUAUAAAAGAGAAUACAAAAUUAGAGUAAAUACUCUAAUUAAUACCAAAUACCCUAAGAGAAUAACCUCGCAAGAUCACUUCAAUAAAAGAGUUCACACAAGUGCUUCCCAACACUCAACUCUCGUACAAAACACUCUUAAUAAAGGAGAAAAUGAAGAAACAAGAAAUGAAGAUUCAAGUCUUAUUGGUGUGUUUAAAAUGAACUAAUGUCCUUUUCUUUUAUAGGCAAAAAAGUCUUGGCCUCUUAGUUGUAAAAGAAAAGAUACAACUUGUGCAAAUGAUAUCCACUACACAAUGCAAUAUUUUUGGGUCUCAAAAAAUAUUGCCAACAAAGUCUAUACUUUAGACAUAUGCUUAUGCUUGUGUGAGAUGGAUUCCAUUAGCCAAAAUAUUGGCCAUAUUACAAAGUUCUAUGGAGUUUAUAAUUGCAAAAAGGAAUCAAAGUAUUGGAGUUAGAGUUUUGUUGAGUUUAUGCAUACAAGGUGUCAAAACUAAUGGGUUGUGGCAUGUUUAGCACAUUUUCAACGGUCCCAGUGAGGGCAAGGUAUUGCUAAACAUUGAUACUUUACUCUGUAACUGAGUAAAAACACUUUAAAACUUGUGUACUUAGUUACUUGCCCAACUUCGCUUAAAAUUAUCACCAAAAUCGAAAGCAUAUAUAAGUCGUGAAAAAUUGUUUUUCAAAGGAUGGUCACAGAGGGGAGACUUCUUUACCUUUUUAAAUCAUACUGAAAUUCUUCUUUUAGGCAGUUGAGCAUCCGAUCUCUUUGUUUGCUGGCCAGUUCUUAGGCAUUCUCUGAGUGUUAGAAAUACGUCAGACUCCUUGGAUCGCUCUGGGCUGAUGGCGCUUUGUAACGGCUUAUCUGAAGUCCAACAACGGAUCUCUAUUCGCGACAGAGAACAAAACAACAUGACUUGCUUCCAUAGAUUUGUUGAAUUUACUACGAAUUUGAUUUAAACAAAUAUCUCUGUGUGCCGCCUGCCUUUAGAUUGACACACAAUUGAGGAGGCAUAUCAUAAUUUUAGACGACAAUAGGCCUACCGAAAUUUUAUACAACAAUAGACUUACAUUUAAUUGAUUUCAAGCUAGACACUUGAAUUUUGUUCAAAAAGUUCUUGUACAAGAAAAUAAAUAGUAGUUGGGAUAGAUUUGGUAGGCCACUAUGGAGAGCCCUCUUG
rnacentral:lncRNA from 1 species